GGACGGGUGAGUAAUGUCUGGGAAACUGCCCGAUGGAGGGGGAUAACUACUGGAAACGGUAGCUAAUACCGCAUAACGUCGCAAGACCAAAGAGGGGGACCUUCGGGCCUCUUGCCAUCGGAUGUGCCCAGAUGGGAUUAGCUAGUAGGUGGGGUAACGGCUCACCUAGGCGACGAUCCCUAGCUGGUCUGAGAGGAUGACCAGCCACACUGGAACUGAGACACGGUCCAGACUCCUACGGGAGGCAGCAGUGGGGAAUAUUGCACAAUGGGCGCAAGCCUGAUGCAGCCAUGCCGCGUGUAUGAAGAAGGCCUUCGGGUUGUAAAG
rnacentral:rRNA from 1 species